rnacentral:tRNA from 1 species
GGUGGCGUGGCCGAGCGGUUGAAGGCACCGGUCUUGAAAACCGGCAAUCGGAAACGAUUCGUGGGUUCGAAUCCCACCGCCACCU